rnacentral:rRNA from 1 species
CAGUCGCCGCGGUAAUACGUAGGGGGCUAGCGUUGUUCGGAAUUACUGGGCGUAAAGCGCACGUAGGCUGCUUUGUAAGUUAGAGGUGAAAGCCUGGAGCUCAACUCCAGAAUUGCCUUUAAGACUGCCGAGCUAGUAGGUGAGAGAGGUAAGUGGAAUUCCGAGUGUAGAGGUGAAAUUCGUAGAUAUUCGGAAGAACACCAGUGGCGAAGGCGGCUUACUGGCUCAUUCUAGACGCUGAGGUGCGAAAGCGUGGGGAGCAAACAGGAUUAGAUACCCCUGUAGUCCCUGUCUCUUAUAA